rnacentral:rRNA from 1 species
UACGUAGGGGGCAAGCGUUGUCCGGAUUUAUUGGGCGUACAGAGCGUGUAGGCGGCCGUACAGGUCAGCUGUGAAAACUCGAGGCUCAACCUCGAGACGUCGGUUGAAACCGUACGGCUAGAGUCCGGAAGAGGAGAGUGGAAUUCCCGGUGCAGCGGUGAAAUGCGCAGAUAUCGGGAAGAACACCCGUGGCGAAGGCGGCUCUCUGGGACGGUACUGACGCUGAGACGCGAAAGCGUGGGGAGCGAACAGG